CAUUUAAUUGAUUGGUGAAUUGGUCAUUCGUAGUUCAUCCUGGCCCUUUCUGGGGACAUAUUCCUGCCAGUAAAGAGGAAGUAUCUGGUCCAUGCUUUCCAUUAUGCACCAGUUUGAGUGGGACAGCCUUCAUACGUCAAAAGGGGAAAUAGUGUUUUGGGGAUAAACAGAGCCCAGAUGUUCAGAGAACUUUUAUUGCUUAUGCUGCAGUUUAACAAUUCUGAUGAGACCAUUACAAUCCAAAUGUCCCCAUGCUUACCCCAGGAAAGCAGAAGAUGGACUUGCUGUCACUGCCAUUAUGGAGUGUGAAGUCAACAUCCUGGCACAGAAAUCCCAGAACAAUCCUGUCAAAGAAGCACAUUUAUAAUCAAAUCCUUUCUCCCCAGUGCACAGAGGAUGAAAAUUUUCUGCUGUCUUCGGAACUUUGUCUGCAAACAGUUCAAAGGAAAAUGUGGCCCAAGGGCUUGCCAUCUACAGGGAUUUCAAAGAACACAGUGGAUUGGGUUGACUAUGGCAGGGUGAUACAGGUGGCUCUGGGAAAGCAGCAUCUGCAAGGUGAGGGCCUGAUUUUUGAAACUUUUGCUUCUGAAUGGAAGAAACGGCAAAGUGGGAAUCCCUGGGUGGCUCAGCGGUUUGGCUCCUGCCUUUGGCCUGGGGUGUCAUCCUGGAGUCCUGGGAUCGAGUCCUGUGUCGGGCUCCCUGCAUGGAGCCUGCUUCUACC